CAUAGGUUAAUGAGGCGAACCGGGGGAACUGAAACAUCUAAGUACCCCGAGGAAAAGAAAUCAACCGAGAUUCCCCCAGUAGCGGCGAGCGAACGGGGAGCAGCCCAGAGCCUGAAUCAGUGUGUGUGUUAGUGGAAGCGUCUGGAAAGGCGCGCGAUACAGGGUGACAGCCCCGUACACAAAAAUGCACAUGCUGUGAGCUCGAUGAGUAGGGCGGGACACGUGGUAUCCUGUCUGAAUAUGGGGGGACCAUCCUCCAAGGCUAAAUACUCCUGACUGACCGAUAGUGAACCAGUACCGUGAGGGAAAGGCGAAAAGAACCCCGGCGAGGGGAGUGAAAAAGAACCUGAAACCGUGUACGUACAAGCAGUGGGAGCCUCUUUAUGGGGUGACUGCGUACCUUUUGUAUAAUGGGUCAGCGACUUAUAUUCUGUAGCAAGGUUAACCGAAUAGGGGAGCCGAAGGGAAACCGAGUCUUAACUGGGCGUUAAGUUGCAGGGUAUAGACCCGAAACCCGGUGAUCUAGCCAUGGGCAGGUUGAAGGUUGGGUAACACUAACUGGAGGACCGAACCGACUAAUGUUGAAAAAUUAGCGGAUGACUUGUGGCUGGGGGUGAAAGGCCAAUCAAACCGGGAGAUAGCUGGUUCUCCCCGAAAGCUAUUUAGGUAGCGCCUCGUGAAUUCAUCUCCGGGGGUAGAGCACUGUUUCGGCAAGGGGGUCAUCCCGACUUACCAACCCGAUGCAAACUGCGAAUACCGGAGAAUGUUAUCACGGGAGACACACGGCGGGUGCUAACGUCCGUCGUGAAGAGGGAAACAACCCAGACCGCCAGCUAAGGUCCCAAAGUCAUGGU
rnacentral:rRNA from 1 species